rnacentral:rRNA from 1 species
GAUGAACGCUAGCGAUAGGCUUAACACAUGCAAGUCGAGGGGCAGCAUGGUCUUAGCUUGCUAAGACUGAUGGCGACCGGCGCACGGGUGCGUAACGCGUAUGCAACUUGCCUCACAGAGGGGGAUAACCCGUCGAAAGACGGACUAAUACCGCGUACACUUGGGAUAGGGCAUCCUGACCCAAGGAAAUGAAAUUCGCUGUGAGAUAGGCAUGCGUCCCAUUAGCUAGUUGGUGAGGUAACGGCUCACCAAGGCGACGAUGGGUAGGGGAACUGAGAGGCUGAACCCCCACACUGGUACUGAGACACGGACCAGACUUCUACGGGAGGCAGCAGUGAGGAAUAUUGGUCAAUGGGCGAGAGCCUGAACCAGCCAAGUCGCGUGAAGGAUGACUGUCUUAUGGAUUGUAAACUUCUUUUAUACGGGAAUAACAAGAGCCACGUGUGGCUCCCUGCAUGUACCGUAUGAAUAAGCAUCGGCUAACUCCGUG